rnacentral:rRNA from 1 species
AGUUUGAUCCUGGCUCAGAUUGAACGCUGGCGGCAGGCUUAACACAUGCAAGUCGAGCGGAUGAAAGUAGCUUGCUACUGGAUUCAGCGGCGGACGGGUGAGUAAUGCUUAGGAAUCUGCCUAUUAGUGGGGGACAACGUUCCGAAAGGAGCGCUAAUACCGCAUACGUCCUACGGGAGAAAGCAGGGGACCUUCGGGCCUUGCGCUAAUAGAUGAGCCUAAGUCGGAUUAGCUAGUUGGUAGGGUAAAGGCCUACCAAGGCGACGAUCUGUAGCGGGGUCUGAGAGGAUGAUCCGCCACACUGGGACUGAGACACGGCCCAGACUCCUACGGGAGGCAGCAGUGGGGAAUAUUGGACAAUGGGGGGAACCCUGAUCCAGCCAUGCCGCGUGUGUGAAGAAGGCCUUUUGGUUGUAAAGCACUUUAAGCGAGGAGGAGGCUACCUAGAUUAAUACUUUAGGAUAGUGGACGUUACUCGCAGAAUAAGCACCGGCUAACUCUGUG